AUACGGAGGAUCCGAGCGUUAUCCGGAUUUAUUGGGUUUAAAGGGUGCGCAGGCGGCCAUUUAAGUCAGCGGUUAAAUCGUGGGGCUCAACCCCAUUCUGCCGUUGAUACUGGGUGGCUUGAUUGCGGUCGAGGUUGGCGGAAUUCGUUGUGUAGCGGUGAAAUGCAUAGAUAUGACGAAGAACACCGAUUGCGUAGGCAGGUGACCAGACCUGAAAUGACGCUCAUGCACGAAAGUGCGGGGAUCGAACAGGAUUAGAUACCCUGGUAGUCCGCACAGUAAACGAUGAAUACUUGUUUUCGGCGAUAUAAUGUCGGAGGGAAAGCGAAAGCGAUAAGUAUUCCACCUGGGGAGUACGCCGGCAACGGUGAAACUCAAAGGAAUUGACGGGG
rnacentral:rRNA from 1 species